rnacentral:tmRNA from 1 species
GGGGGCGUAAAGGUUUCGACGGGGAUCCUGAAUCACAAUAAGCGCGUGGUGGCGCACAACCACCUUAAAAUGUGUAACCUAAAAAUAAACGCUAACAAUAAUAAAUUAGCUUACGCUGCUUAAUUAAGCGGCGUCAUUCCGGUGCGAGGGACCACGGGCGCAUACGGAGUGUCAUUUUUAGUGGUGAACGUUUCCGGUUAAGCUUUGUCCCGGAAAUGUAUGAUGAAGCUACCGAAUCUGUCAGCCUGUUUACCGGCGGGCAGAUAAGGGAAUUUUAAUAGAUAAACUACACGCGUAGAAAGUUGUGUGGAUGGGUUUUCGGACAGGGGUUCGACUCCCCUCGCCUCCACCA